AAAAAAAGGAUUGAUCAAGUAGGUAUUUUCAAAGGUGUAAUUGGUUCUAAAAUAUAAACCAAUCGAUCACCCUCUUAAACCAAUUGAUGCCCUCAUGGAAGGGAUUGAUCGAGUGUGCCUUGGAACAACUCCAAUAGCUAUUUUCUUAUGCUUUCAAUGGCUAUUUUCUUCUCCCAAGCAUCCCCAAUGGCUAGCUUUUCAAUUUCUCUAUAUAUUAGUCACUCCAACACACCAAGAAGGU
rnacentral:lncRNA from 1 species